AGUGAACGCUGGCGGUAGGCCUAACACAUGCAAGUCGAACGGCAGCACAGUAAGAGCUUGCUCUUACGGGUGGCGAGUGGCGGACGGGUGAGGAAUACAUCGGAAUCUACUUUUUCGUGGGGGAUAACGUAGGGAAACUUACGCUAAUACCGCAUACGACCUACGGGUGAAAGCAGGGGAUCUUCGGACCUUGCGCGAUUGAAUGAGCCGAUGUCGGAUUAGCUAGUUGGCGGGGUAAAGGCCCACCAAGGCGACGAUCCGUAGCUGGUCUGAGAGGAUGGUCAGCCACACUGGAACUGAGACACGGGCCAGAAUCCUACGGGAGGCAGCAGUGGGGAAUAUUGGACAAUGGGCGCAAGCCUGAUCCAGCCAUACCGCGUGGGUGAAGAAGGCCUUCGGGUUGUAAAGCCCUUUUGUUGGGAAAGAAAAGCAGCAGGUUAAGACCCCGCUGUUCUGACGGUACCCAAAGAAUAAGCACCGGCUAACUUCGU
rnacentral:rRNA from 1 species